rnacentral:rRNA from 1 species
UACGUAGGGGGCAAGCGUUGUCCGGAAUUAUUGGGCGUAAAGCGCGUGUAGGCGGUCCGGUAAGUCGGCUGUGAAAGUCCAGGGCUCAACCCCUGGGAUGCCGGUCGAUACUGCCGGACUAGAGUUCGGAAGAGGCGAGUGGAAUUCCCGGUGUAGCGGUGAAAUGCGCAGAUAUCGGGAGGAACACCAAUGGCGAAGGCAGCUCGCUGGGACGUUACUGA